AAAGAAUCCUGGGCAACCCUUCUGGGUCCCCUUCCACCACGUGGAAGCCUUACUUUCACUUUCACUUUAAUAAAUCUUGCCACUGCACACUCUUUGGGUCUGUGUGUUUCUCUAAUCGAGCUGUAACACUCAUCACUGCAGUCCACAGCUUCAUUUCUUGAAGCCUGUGAGACCACGAACCCUUCAAUCGAGAAAAACCUUCGAUAAGGAGAAGACUUCUCAUCUCAUUUCUGGGGUCUGGUCCGGGAUUUCUCCAAAGCGAAUAGAAUCCAUGAAGCUGCAAAUGGUUCUACAAAUGGAGCCCCAAGUGACCACCACUAGCACCUACUAUCAAGCACCCCUAGACCCACCCACCAACCUGUUCUCACACCACGACACCAAAGACUCCCCUCCUGAGGAAACCUCAACUGCAGUGCCCCUUCUACCCCCCAGUUCAGCAGGAAGUAGCUAGAACAAUCGUCAUCCAACUUCCCAACAGCACUUGGGCUUUCCUGUUGAAAGGGGGGACUGAGGGACUAAGUGGCUAAAUUGGCUGGACUUCCUGGGUCAAUAGGGACUUCCCUAAAGUGACUUUCCCCUAAGCCAAAAUGAGUCAUAGCUGCAAGCUAAGAGAUUAAAACUUCAACCAAUCAAAGGGGAUUUUCCCCUAAGCCAAAAUUAGUCAUAGCUGCAAGCUAAAGGGAUUGAAACUUCAACCAAUCAAAGGGGACUUUCCCCUAAGCCAAAAUGAGUCACAGCUACAAACUAAGGGAUUGAAACUUCAACCAAUCAUAUAGGGAGUUCAAGCUCUAGCUGCAGCCUGAUGUUUUUAACCAAUCAGGUCUGCCAACCCACAAGUGGAUAGAAAAUUAGCCAAUCCUAUAGGACAGAAAAAGAAAAGGGGAGGAGUCAUAAGGGGAUAUAAGCAUAAGACACCCAAGCCAAAAAACACAAUCCUUCUGGGUCCCCUUCCACCACAUGGAAGCUUUACUUUUGCGUUCCCUUUACUUUCCCUUUCGCUUUACUAAAUCUUGCUGCCAUAAAAAAAAAAAAAGAAUCCCAGCCUGGUACAGUGACUCACACCAAGGAAGGCAGAUCGAUUGAGACAAGGAGUUCAAGACCAGUGUGGGCAACAUGGCAAAACCCCAUCUCUACAAAAAAUACAAAAAAAAAAAAAAUAGCUGGGAGUGGUGGUAGGUGCCUGUAGUCCUAGCUACUCAGGAGGCUGAGGUGGGAGGAUCACUUGAGCCCAGGAGGUUGCAGUGAGCCGGGUUCAUUCCACUGCAUUCCAGCCUGGGCAACACAGCCAUAUCUUGGCUCAAAAAAAAAAAAAAAAAAAAAAACAAAAAAAAACAGAAGGCUAUAAUCUCAAGCACUUUGGGAGGCCAAGGCAGGCAAUCACAAGGUCAGGAGAUCAAGACCAUCCUGGCUAACAUGGUGAAACCCCGUCUCUGCUAAAAAUACAAAAAGUUAGCUGGGCGUGGUGGCGGGCGUCUGUAGUCCCAGCUACUCGGAAGGCUGAGGCAGGAGAAUGGCAUGAACCCGGGAGGCGGAGCUUUCAGCCAGCCGAGAUUGCACUACUGCACUCCUGCCUGGGUGACAGAGCAAGACUCCGUCAAAAAAAAUAAAAGAAAAGAAAAAAGAAAAAAGGGCAGGGCGUGGUGGUUCACGCCUGUAAUCCCAGCACUUUGGAAGGCCGAGGUGGGCAGAUCACUUGAGGUCAGGAGUUCAAGACCAGCCUGGCCAACAUGGUGAAACCCCAUCUCUACUAAAAAUACAAAAAAAUUAGCUGGGCACAGUGGCAGGCCCCUGUAAUCCCAGCUACUCAGGAGGCUGAGGCAGCAGAAUCGCUUGAACCCAGGAGGCCAAGGUUGAAGUGAGCCAAGAUUGCGCCGCUGCACUUCAGCCUGGGCAACAGAGCGAGACUCUGUCUCAAGAAAGAAAAGAAAAAAAAAUCCCAGAUGAAUUUUCUUUUUUUUUUUUUUUUUUUUUGAGACAGUAUCCCUGCCUCCCAGGCUGGAGUGCAGUGGCGCAAUCUCAGCUCACUGCAAGCUCCGCCUUCCAGGUUCAUGCCAUUCUCCUGCCUCAGCCUCCCGAGUAGCUGGGAUUACAGGUGCCCGCCACCAUGUCCAGCUAAUUUUUUGUAUUUUUAGUAGAGAUGGGGUUUAAACGUGUUAGCUAGUGUGGUCUCGAUCUCCUGACCUCGUGAUCCACUCGCCUUGGCCUCCCAAAGUGCUGGGAUUACAGGCGUGAGCCACCACGCCUGACCCUAGCUUAAUUUUCUUAAAAGGAAGCUGAAUUGGCAGAGUUGUCCCACAGUGGACUAAAACAGCCAGGCCUUUAUACCUCCACCUUGAUCACUGGAUGUAGGCUGUCCUGGUAAGGGUGCCCCACCUUAGUCACACAGGAAGCUGAUGCAGUCCCUGAAGACACUGCUAGCUGAAGGCUUUCCCCUCGUAGCACUCCCAGUAGUUGGGAAAACAAUUCCUUCACUGAAGUAGGGUCUGGACACCAUACUUGGUAUGUCUUCACAAAAUAUUUUUGUUUUUUUGUUUUUUUGAGACAGAGUCGCUCUGUCGCCCAAGCUGGAGUGCAGUGGCGUGAUCUCGGCUCACUGCAAGCUCCGCCUCCCAGGUUCACGCCAUUCUCCUGCCUCAGCCUCCCUACUAGCUGGGACUAUAGGUGCCCGCCACCACGUCUGGCUAAUUUUUUUUUAUUUUUAGUAGAGACGGGGUUUCACCGUGUUAGCCAGGAUAGUCUCAAUCUCCUGACCUCAUGAUACACUCGCCUCGGCCUCCCAAAGUGCUGGGAUUACAGGCGUGAGCCACCACGCCCAGCCCUUCCUCUAUCUUAAUAACACAGUGGUUAAACGCAACAGUACUGAAUUGUCUAGUUAGUUUAAUGUUAUGUAUUUCAUACACUAUUAACACUAGUAUGGGAAGCAUUUAUAAAAAUCAUGUACCAUUAAUUAAUUUUCUUUCACUUAAAAGUUAAAGCUUUGAGGAUUCUGUUUGAAAAUAUAUGUAAAAUGAUAAAGACCAAAUGUGUGUUAAUUCAAAUAUUUAAUUAAAGAAUAAAAUAAGAAUAAUGAG
rnacentral:lncRNA from 10 species